UACGUAGGUGGCGAGCGUUGUCCGGAAUUAUUGGGCGUAAAGAGCUCGUAGGCGGCCUGUUGCGUCCGCUGUGAAAUCCCGGGGCUUAACCCCGGGCGUGCAGUGGAUACGGGCAGACUAGAGGUAUGCAGGGGAGAACGGAAUUCCUGGUGUAGCGGUGAAAUGCGUAGAGAUCGGGAGGAACACCAGUGGCGAAGGCGGCUACCUGGACCAGCACUGACACUGAGGCACGAAAGCGUGGGGAGCAAACAGG
rnacentral:rRNA from 1 species